UACGUAGGCAGCGAGCGUUGUUCGGAGUUACUGGGCGUAAAGCGUGCGUAGGCGGUGUCUUAAGUUUGUUGUGAAAUCUCCCGGCUUAACCGGGAGGGUGCGGCGAAUACUGAGAUGCUGGAGUGCCGGAGAGGUAAGCGGAAUUCCUGGUGUAGCGGUGAAAUGCGUAGAUAUCAGGAGGAACACCCGCGGUGUAGACGGCUUACUGGACGGUAACUGACGCUGAGGCACGAAAGCGUGGGUAGCAAACAGG
rnacentral:rRNA from 1 species